GUAGGUGGCAAGCGUUGUCCGGAUUUAUUGGGUUUAAAGGGUGCGUAGGCGGCCCUGUAAGUCAGUGCUGAAAUACCCCGGCUUAACCGGGGGGGUGGCAUUGAUACUGCAGGGCUUGAGUACAGAUGAGGUAGGCGGAAUUGACGGUGUAGCGGUGAAAUGCAUAGAUAUCGUCAAGAACACCGAUAGCGAAGGCAGCUUACUGGGCUGUAACUGACGCUGAUGCACGAAAGUGUGGGGAUCAAACAGGAUUAGAUACCCUGGUAGUCCACACUGUAAACGUUGAUUACUCGCUGUUUGCGAUACACAGCAAGCGGCUUAGCGAAAGCGAUAAGUAAUCCACCUGGGGAGUACGCCGGCAA
rnacentral:rRNA from 1 species